rnacentral:rRNA from 1 species
AGUGAACGCUGGCGGUAGGCCUAACACAUGCAAGUCGAACGGCAGCACAGUAAGAGCUUGCUCUUACGGGUGGCGAGUGGCGGACGGGUGAGGAAUACAUCGGAAUCUACUUUUUCGUGGGGGAUAACGUAGGGAAAUUUACGCUAAUACCGCAUACGACCUACGGGUGAAAGCAGGGGAUCUUCGGACCUUGCGCGAUUGAAUGAGCCGAUGUCGGAUUAGCUAGUUGGCGGGGUAAAGGCCAACCAAGGCGACGAUCCGUAGCUGGUCUGAGAGGAUGAUCAGCCACACUGGAACUGAGACACGGUCCAGACUCCUACGGGAGGCAGCAGUGGGGAAUAUUGGACAAUGGGCGCAAGCCUGAUCCAGCCAUACCGCGUGGGUGAAGAAGGCCUUCGGGUUGUAAAGCCCUUUUGUUGGGAAAGAAAAGCAGCAGGUUAAUACCCCGCUGUUCUGACGGUACCCAAAGAAUAAGCACCGGCUAACUUCGUG